GAAAGGGCAAACCUAUCGAAAGAUAGGGACGCAAAACUAUAGGGCCUUACCUAUUUUUUAGGAUGGCAGCCAGUCUCC
rnacentral:ncRNA from 1 species